rfam:Apaloderma vittatum contig17268, whole genome shotgun sequence.
GGGUUAGCUCAGUGGGUUGAGCGUGGUGCUGAGAACACCGAGGUCUCGGGUUCGAUUCCCGUUUGGUCCA